rnacentral:rRNA from 1 species
CGGAGGGUGCGAGCGUUGUCCGGAUUUAUUGGGUUUAAAGGGUGCGUAGGUGGCUUUUAAGUCAGUGGUGAAAUACAGCCGCUCAACGGUUGAGGUGCCAUUGAUACUGAAAAGCUUGAAACAAGUGGAGGCUGCCGGAAUGGAUGGUGUAGCGGUGAAAUGCAUAGAUAUCAUCCAGAACACCGAUUGCGAAGGCAGGUGGCUACGUUUGAUUUGACACUGAGGCACGAAAGCAUGGGAGCAAACAGGAUU